CUACGGGGUGCUGCAGUGGGGAAUAUUGGACAAUGGGGGAAACCCUGAUCCAGCAAUGCCGCGUGUGUGAAGAAGGCCUGCGGGUUGUAAAGCACUUUCGGUUGGGAGGACUGCUUCUAGCACUAAUAUUGUUGGAAGUUGACGUUACCUUCAGAAGAAGCACCGGCUAACUCCGUGCCAGCAGCCGCGGUAAUACGGAGGGUGCAAGCGUUAAUCGGAAUUACUGGGCGUAAAGCGCGCGUAGGCGGCUAGAUCAGUCGGGUGUGAAAGCCCCGGGCUUAACCUGGGAACUGCAUCCGAUACUGUCUAGCUUGAGUACAGGAGAGGAGAGUGGAAUUCCACAUGUAGCGGUGAAAUGCGUAGAUAUGUGGAGGAACACCAAUGGCGAAGGCAGCUCUCUGGCCUGAUACUGACGCUGAGACGCGAAAGCGUGGGUAGCAAACAGGAUUAGAUACCCGCGUAGUC
rnacentral:rRNA from 1 species